rnacentral:rRNA from 1 species
GACGUAGGGUGCAAGCGUUGUCCGGAAUUACUGGGCGUAAAGCGUGCGCAGGCGGCCUCUUAAGUCAGAUGUGAAAUCCCCGGGCUUAACCUGGGAACUGCGUUUGAAACUGGGAGGCUUGAGUGUGGAAGAGGGGGGUGGAAUUCCAGGUGUAGCAGUGAAAUGCGUAGAGAUCUGGAGGAACACCGAUGGCGAAGGCAGCCCCCUGGGCUGACACUGACGCUCAUGCACGAAAGCGUGGGGAGCAAACAGG